AAGUCGUAACAAGGUUUCCGUAGGUGAACCUGCGGAAGGAUCAUUAUUGAAUUUUAAACUGAGUGGGGUUGUUGCUGGCCUAUAUGGGCAUGUGCACACCUCAUUUUAUCCAACCUUUACCCCACUGUGCACUUUCUCAUGGGCUGAAUAUUUGCAAAGUUGUUCUUAAUUGAGCAAUGGAAGCGAUGUUUGUUCCAUGUGUUUUUAAUACAAUACACAUAUUUGUUAUAGAAUGUAAACAUGCAGUGCAUUUAAUGCAUAUAAUAUAACUUUCAGCAACGGAUCUCUUGGCUCUC
rnacentral:misc_RNA from 1 species